CUGAAAAGCGAUCCAUGCAGUCGACGGCAGCACGGACUUCGGUCUGGUGGCGAGUGGCGAACGGGUGAGUACUGUAUCGGAACGUGCCUAGUAGCGGGGGAUAACUACGCGAAAGCGUAGCUAAUACCGCAUACGCCCUACGGGGGAAAGCAGGGGAUCGCAAGACCUUGCACUAUUAGAGCGGCCGAUAUCGGAUUAGCUAGUUGGUGGGGUAACGGCUCACCAAGGCGACGAUCCGUAGCUGGUUUGAGAGGACGACCAGCCACACUGGGACUGAGACACGGCCCAGACUCCUACGGGAGGCAGCAGUGGGGAAUUUUGGACAAUGGGGGAAACCCUGAUCCAGCCAUCCCGCGUGUGCGAUGAAGGCCUUCGGGUUGUAAAGCACUUUUGGCAGGAAAGAAACGUUCCGGGUUAAUACCCCGGGAAACUGACGGUACCUGCAGAAUAAGCACCGGCUAACUACGUGCCAGCAGCCGCGGUAAUACGUAGGGUGCAAGCGUUAAUCGGAAUUACUGGGCGUAAAGCGUGCGCAGGCGGUUCGGAAAGAAAGAUGUGAAAUCCCAGAGCUUAACUUUGG
rnacentral:rRNA from 1 species